rnacentral:rRNA from 1 species
CCUACGGGAGGCAGCAGUGGGGAAUCUUGCGCAAUGGGCGAAAGCCUGACGCAGCGACGCCGCGUGGGGGAAGAAGGCCUUAGGGUUGUAAACCUCUUUCAGGUGGGACGAAGCCACUCGGGUUAAUAGCCCAGAGGGUGACGGUACCGCCAGAAGAAGCCCCGGCUAACUACGUGCCAGCAGCCGCGGUAAUACGUAGGGGGCAAGCGUUGUCCGGAUUUAUUGGGCGUAAAGAGCGUGUAGGCGGCCAGGUAGGUGGGUUGUGAAAACUGGAGGCUCAACCUUCAGACGUCGACCCAAACCCCCUGGCUAGAGUCCGGAAGAGGAGAGUGGAAUUCCUGGUGUAGCGGUGAAAUGCGCAGAUAUCAGGAAGAACACCCGUGACGAAGGCGGCUCUCUGGGACGGUACUGACGCUGAGACGCGAAAGCGUGGGGAGCGAACAGGAUUAGAUACCCUGGUAGUCCACGCCGUAAACGAUGGGCGCUAGGUGUGGGGGGUGUCAACUCCCUCCGUGCCGAAGCUAACGCAUUAAGCACCCCGCCUGGGGAGUACGGCCGCAAGGCUAAAACUCAAAGGAAUUGACGG